UGCAAGUCGAACGGUAGCAGGCAGGAGCUUGCUSCUUGGGUGACGAGUGGCGGACGGGUGAGUAAUGUCUGGGAAACUGCCCGAUGGAGGGGGAUAACUACUGGAAACGGUAGCUAAUACCGCAUAACGUCGCAAGACCAAAGAGGGGGACCUUCGGGCCUCUUGCCAUCGGAUGUGCCCAGAUGGGAUUAGCUAGUAGGUGGGGUAACGGCUCACCUAGGCGACGAUCCCUAGCUGGUCUGAGAGGAUGACCAGCCACACUGGAACUGAGACACGGUCCAGACUCCUACGGGAGGCAGCAGUGGGGAAUAUUGCACAAUGGGCGCAAGCCUGAUGCAGCCAUGCCGCGUGUAUGAAGAAGGCCUUCGGGUUGUAAAGUACUUUCAGCGRGGAGGAAGGUGUUGAGGUUAAUACCUGCACUCAUUGACGUUACUCGCAGAAGAAGCACCGGCUAACUCCGUGCCAGCAGCCGCGGUAAUACGGAGGGUGCAAGCGUUAAUCGGAAUUACUGGGCGUAAAGCGCACGCAGGCGGUCUGUCAAGUCGGAUGUGAAAUCCCCGGGCUCAACCUGGGAACUGCAUCCGAUACUGGCAGGCUAGAGUCUUGUAGAGGGGGGUAGAAUUCCAGGUGUAGCGGUGAAAUGCGUAGAGAUCUGGAGGAAUACCGGUGGCGAAGGCGGCCCCCUGGACGAAGACUGACG
rnacentral:rRNA from 1 species